rnacentral:tRNA from 1 species
AAGAAUAUAAUUUAAUGGUAAAAAUAGGAAGCUUCAAACUUCAAACUCUCAGUUCAAAUCUGAGUAUUCUUG